ACCUUCGAAUGCACUCCAAACUCAUCUGAUCUCAGAAGCUUAGCAGGGUUGGGCCUGGCUAGUACUUGGAUGGGACACUGUCUAGGAAUACUGGCUGCUGGAGGCU
rnacentral:rRNA from 1 species